AACGUAGGACACAAGCGUUAUCCGGAGUUACUGGGCGUAAAGGGCGUGUAGGCGGACCUAUAAGUCUAUUCUGAAAGCUCCUGGCUAAACUGGGAGAGGCGAAUGGAGACUGUAGAUCUAGAGUGAGGAAGAGGAAAGUGGAAUUCCGCGUGUAGUGGUGAAAUGCGUAGAGAUGUGGAGGAACACCGAUGGCGAAGGCAGCCUCCUGGGCCAGCACUGACGCUCAUGCACGAAAAGCGUGGGGGAGCAAACAGG
rnacentral:rRNA from 1 species